ensembl:lncRNA
GGGCAGGGGUGGAUCAGUGGAUAAGAUGUUGGUGACUCCAGGGCAGGGGUGGAUCAGUGGAUAAGAUGUUGGUUGGCUCCAGGGCAGGGGUGGAUCAGUGGAUAAGAUGUUUGUUGACUCCAGGGCAGGGGUAGAUCAGUGGAUAAGAUGUUGGUUGACUCCAGGGCAGGGGUGAAUCAGUGGAUAAGAUGUUGGUUGGCUCCAGGGCAGGGGUGAAUCAGUGGAUAAGAUGUUGGUUGGCUUCAGGCCAGGGGUGGAUCAGUGGAUAAGAUGUUGGUUGGCUCCAGAGCAGGGGGAGAUCCAUGGCUAAGAUGUUGGUUGGCUCCAGGGCAGAGGUGGAUCAGUGGAUAAGAUGUUGGUGACUCCAGGGCAGGGGUGGAUCAGUGGAUAAGAUGUUGGUUGGCUCCAGGCCAGGGGUGGAUCAGUGGAUAAGAUGUCGGUUGGCUCCAGGGCAGGGGUAGAUCAGUGGAUAAGAUGUUGGUGACUCCAGGGCAGGGGUGGAUCAGUGGAUAAGAUGUUGGGUAAUUCCAGGCCAGGGGUGGAUCAGUGGAUAAGAUGUUUGUUGACUCCAGGGCAGGGGUAGAUCCGUGCAUAAGAUGUUGGGUGACUCCAGGGCAGGGAUGGAUCAGUGGAUAAGAUGUUGGUGAUUCCAGGGCAGGGAUGGAUCAGUGGAUAAGAUGUUGGUGACUGUAGGGCGGGGUAGAUCAGUGGAUAAGAUGUUGGUUGACUCCAGGGCAGGGGUAGAUCAGUGGAUAAGAUGUUGGGUAAUUCCAGGGCAGGGGUAGAUCAGUGGAUAAGAUGUUGGUUGACUCCAGGACAGGGGUGGAUCAGUGUGUAAGAUGUUGGGUGAUUCCAGGGCAGGGGUAGAUCAGUGGAUAAGAUGUUGGGUGAUUCCAGGGCAGGGGUAGAUCAGUGGAUAAGAUGUUGGUUGAUUCCAGGGCAGGGGUGGAUCAGUGGAUAAGACGUUGGUGACUCCAGGGCAGGGGUGGAUCAGUGGAUAAGAUGUUGGGUAAUUCCAGGCCAGGGGUGGAUCAGUGGAUAAGAUGUUUGUUGACUCCAGGGCAGGGGUAGAUCCGUGCAUAAGAUGUUGGGUGACUCCAGGGCAGGGCUGCAUCAGUGGAUAAGAUGUUGGUGACUGUAGGGCAGGGGUAGAUCAGUGGAUAAGAUGUUGGUUGACUCCAGGGCAGGGGUAGAUCAGUGGAUAAGAUGUUGGGUAAUUCCAGGGCAGGGGUGGAUCAGUGUGUAAGAUGUUGGAUAAUUCCAGGGCAGGGGUGGAUCAAUGGAUAAGAUGUCAGAAUACUGAUUGGAAGGUUUUGAGUUCAAAUCCCAGUGCUGCCACUCUUGGGCCCUUAAC